UUAUAUGAAAUCAAACUAUCUUACAAAGAUAAACCUUAGAAACAAGGAUCGAGAAUUAAAUUUAAAAUUACUAUUGUCUUUAUCUUUUUCUAGUCACUGCUUUUUUUUUGUAGUAAGUAGCAAUAAUCUAGGCGGGACCCUAACAUAUUCACCCAUUAAAAAAGCUAUUAUCAUAAAGAUGAUGCAAUACAUGCAUAGGUAUCGAUUCAGAACAACAAUAGCACUUCCCCUACUUCGCCAAUCCACCUGGGUUUCCAGAACCCUACCUAUGGGUUUUAGCCAGUUAUGUUUGUAAAGAAAUCAGUAACAUUCAUAGAUGAAAGCCUAGAUGAAAUCAUAAUGAUGAGAAGUGUAAAAACCCACAACUGUAACUGAAUUAAUCAACUGAAGUCAAUACAAGAGAAUCCCAAGAUCAAAAUCGAAUCUUGGAAUCAAAAUAUGUUUGUGAAUAUCUAAAGUGCAUAACUCCUACUAAAAAACACAUAAAAGGUAUUUAUAGUACAAGAGGAAACCUUAAAACCAAAGUCCGAAUAAAAUAAGGGAAAACUGGGUCGGUGGCCAUAUGUGGUCUGUACAUGCACCCUGGCCUUGGGCGCAGGUAGUACCUGCAGCCCUGUACAGGGCGCAUGUUGAGGAUGGAAAAAUCCUACUAGUCAGCUUCUAGGGAUUUUGGAUUUCUGGCACUUGCUUUGCCUACCUGCGUUUCGUAGGUCCUACUUGCGGUCCACAUGUUGACUUAAUAAGCGCCGUGAGUCAUAUUUUUAGAUCUUCUUCAAUUCCCUAACAUGCUUUGAUCAUGAACAAGCCAGAAAGUAUCUUGAACAUCCAUAAUUGCUCCAAAACAUAGCCAAAACACCAUUUUUUCUCAGAAACUUAUCAUCUAAAAUAUAAUUUCUUCAAAAUAUACCCAAAACUCAUCAUAUCUAAUAAAAUAACCUUAGAAACUUGCAUAUUUUCCUCGUUUUAAGCAUUAAAAGUACAAUAUUUCUAUAGCACAUCAUAUGCUUAAGUAUCUGAUCUACACCCUUUCAUCGGGGAAAGUGCUAGGACUCAAUGAGUAAAAGGGAACGAUGGUCACUGUAAAACCUUAGGCGCAAGCUCGGGCAGAGUGAACAUCGAUGCAAAUCUUGGUGGUAGUAGCAACUAUUCAAAUGAGAACUUUAAAGGCCGAAGAGGGAAGAUAUUCCAUGUAAAUGAAACUUACACAUGGCUUAAUUGAUCCUAAGGAUCAGAGAACCUUGACAGAUAACAUAUUUCACGUGUACUCCAUACGAGAAUCAAGUUAAAAUUCCUAAAUCAGGAUAUGACGGUCGACGACAAUGUUAAGAAGUACGGAGACGUCGGUGGGAGCCUUGAGAAAAUUUAUCUUUUCUGUUUUACAGCGUUUCUACCCUAGAAUCUGCUUAGCCGAAGGUAGGGUCUAGCAGUUAGAAGAGAACCACACGUUGUGUGGUGUCUGGUGCACUCCCGAUGGCCCUUAAAAAUCUAAAGGAUCAAGUAUCGUCCAAUAUCAAUCGUACUUAUAAAUAUAUCAGGUCUCCAAGGUAAAUAACCUUUGGUCGGUGGAACAAUGUGGGUAAAGAAAGUCAACAAAAUAGAUCCAUAACUUUGGGAAAAAGAUCGGCUCUGAGGGCUGGGCACAGGGGUCCUAGUCAUGAACCCAUUUGCUAUCGAUGGAAUGCUCAAGAUUCUCCCAUAAAUAGAGUGGUUCAUCGCGUGCCAGCUGGGGAACGAUCUGGGAGCGGUUCCUUCGGGUUCCUCGUGCGUCAAACAAACAACUUAGAAAUUAUAUGGACAAGGGGAAUCCAACUAUUUAAUUAAAAAAAGCAUUGCGAUAGUCCCAAUGAAUGUUCACGCAAUAUGAUUUCUUCCUAGUGCUCUGAAUGUAAAAGUGAAGAAAUUCAACCAAGCACAGAUAAAUAAUGGGAGUAGAUAUGACUCUCUUAAGGUAGCCAAAUGCCUUUUCAUCUAAUUAUUGAUGCACAUGAAUGGAUUAAAGAGAUUCCCAAUAUCUCUGUCUACUAUCCAAUGAAACUACAACCAAGUGAACGGACUUGGUAGAAUCAGCGAGGAAAGAAGACUAGUCUGACUUUGGGAAAUGACUUAAUAAGUGUAGUAUAAGUGGGAGACGAAAGACGAAAGUGAAAUACCACGACUUUUAAUGUUAUUUUACUUAUUUUGUGAACUAAAAGUGGCGCAUUGCUUUUUUUGGACCCAAGACUCACUCCACGGGCUGAUCUAGGUAAAGAAUAUUAUCAGAUAGGGAGUUUGGCUGGGGUGGUACUUCUGUUAAAGAUAACGCACGUGUCUCAAGAUGAGCUCAAUGAGAACUAAAAUAUUAUUUGGAACAAAAGGGUAAAAACUCAUUUGAUUCUAAUGCUCAGUAUGAAUAUGAACCGUGAAAGUAUGUUCUACCGAUCUUUUAGACCUUUAGAAUUUGAAGCUAGAGGUGUCAGAAAAGUUACCACAAGGAUAACUAGAUUAAGGUAGACAAGAGUUCAUAGCGAUGUUACUUUUUGAUCCUUUAAUGUCGGUUCUUCCUAUUAUUAUGAAGCAGAAUUUACCAAGUAUUGGAUUGUUCACCCUCCAAUAGGGAACGCGAGCUAAAUUUAGACUGUCGUGAGAUAGGUUAGUUUUACCCAAUCGAUGACAGUGUCAUAAUAAUAAUUCAACCUAGUACGAGAGAAACCAUUAAUUUGUACAAUUAGUCAUCGCGCUUGGUUAAAAAGCCAGUAGCAUGAAACUACUAUUUGUUGGAUUAUGAUUAAAUGCCUCUAAGUCAAAAUUAAGGAUAGAAGCGAUGCAUGCACCUACUGUCCGCUUUCCAACUUACAAUAGGUACCUCAGAACCCAAGGACACGUGUUAUUGGCUAAGCCAUCACGGUGGAAGGGUCGCGGUGGGCACAUUGAAGUACAAUCUUGAAAUACCCUGGGUUCUGGUCCUUAGAAAAUUUCUUGAUUUUAUGCUUCUAGACAUCAAAUGACUUGGGUACUUAUC
rnacentral:rRNA from 1 species